GCUCCACCUCCUUGGCCCUCGUGCACAGAGGCUUGUCCCAAGGAAGCUGACACAGCGCUGCUGGUCCGGCUGAGAGGUCGGGGCGGACAGAGUGCUACCACCCAGGACCCCUCCUCUCAGACCUCUCAGGAGCCCUCUGGGGACAUACCGAGGGUGACACAAAGAGGAGGAAGGUGACAGCUGUUUGCAGGGAUAACGCCAAACCCUCAACCACCAGGCCACCAGGGAACUCCUCCCACUGCUUACAAGUUGCAGGCAGCAGCUGAUGUUUCUCUAGAGGUGGACUUGGGUCAGCCUGGAGGUGGAGUAGCUGUGUCACCCUCAAGGCCAAGUUCUGCUAAAGCUCCGUCCGAGUCUUGCUUUGGGGAUUCACAGGAGGGAUCCAGUUCUGAGCUUCCCAGCCUGGAAAGAGUGGCUACAGCCAGAAGGUAACUGCAGGUGGGGCAACGGGACUAGAACCUGAUCCUUGGGGUGGGAAUCUUCAGGCCUGCUGUGAUAGGAAGUCGGAGGGCAGAGAAAUCCAGACCUUCUAGAGAGACCGCAGGAAGUCCACCCCCCACCCCCACCCCGCGCCCAGGCCCUCCCGAAGCACAGGGCUAAGCUAACGGACUCCAUUCUUCCUUUUUUUCAGAUGAAAAAAUUAAAACCUUCCAAGGUCAAAUACAUUUUGCAAACAAACUUUUGAUAGGCCAAGUCAGCAGAUUUCCUGCAGGACUUGUCAGAGCCUUUAAUAUGCUAAUGCGCACAUCAUUCUUUCACAUCUCCCACACUGCCCCUAGCCCCUUGGCUGUCCUCCUUCCUGAUGCUGGAGAGAAAGAGAAAGGGGAGAGGGGUCGACUGUAAGUCCCUGGGUUGCCACCUCCACCCGUCUAUGCCCACCUUGGAAUCUGGCCCACAGAGGGCUCUGGCAGAAGGCAGGAGAAGCGGCAGACCGGCAGACAUCAGGCCAGAAGGUCUGAUAGGACCUGCUAUUCUGAUUUACAAACAGGAGCAUUCAAGUCAAGCCCUAUUAGGAUGCUCUGCCAGUCACUUCCCUUGGACUCUAAGCAAUGGUAUACAUGUCUUUUUUUGUUUUUUUUGGUGAUUUUUUUUUGGCUGCACCCAAGCCACAGCAGCCAUAGCAGCGACCUGAACUGCUGAAGUGACAAGGCAGGAUCUUUAAUCCACUGCACCACAAGGGAACUCCUUCCACUAUGUGCUUUUUAAAUUUGAGGGCAGCUAAGGAAAAGUGUCCAUAAACUCUGAAUUUUUUUUUUUUUUUUUUUUUUUUUGCGGGGGUUGGGGGUGGUGGGGUAAGGGGUGGGGGAGGAAGGCAACAAUUUCCCAAAUGUGGGGAACACGUGGUCAUUGCAGAGCCACGGGUGGCCAAGCCAAGAGAGAGCUCUGCUGACCAUGCCUGCCUGUCAUGCACAGAAGCGCUUGGGGAAGGAUGGCCUGAGAGUGAAAUCUUGCGGGCUCCGCUUUCAACCCCAAGCUUGCUGGGCAUAAAAGAACAGAACAAAAACAGGCCCUGGAGGCAGCAGUGAGCAGAUUCUUUACUGUCAGGUUCUAUACCCUCGCCCGCCCGCCGCCGCCGCGGAGGUGACCAGCGUUAAGACGAACACGAAUUGUUCUUUACAAAAGGAAGUUUCCGGCCCUCCCAACACCCUCCUUCCUAACUCCCUUCCCCAGACAGUGAGCUCCCUGGUCUGGUGGGUCGCAAAGAAAAACAAAGAAAGAAUAUAAAAGAGAAUCUAAGUCAGCGACUCGAGUCGUAGGCAACUGGAGUUUCCGGCCCGCUGGCGGAUGGCGAGCCAGGGACGCGCGCAGGCCGUGUCUGCAACAGUCGUGUGUGUCAGCGUGAAGAGGGGAGGGCAGGAGGCAGGACCCGGGGGUGCUGGGGUGAGCCGCCCUUCUCCCCACCCCCUAU